GAUUUAAAGUGCCUUGCAGUGUGGAUGGGUAUAGAGUUAAAUCGAUUUAAUGCUGUUUAAAUCAAUUUAACUGUGUAAUGUGGACCAGGCCUGGGAGGGCUUUAUUCCAG